rnacentral:rRNA from 1 species
UGGGGGAUUUUGCACAAUGGGCGAAAGCCUGAUGCAGCGACGCCGCGUGGGGGAUGAAGGCCUUCGGGUUGUAAACUUCUUUUGCUCUGAACAAGGCGCACCAUGGGGUGUGUUGAGUGUAGGGGUUGAUUAGCGCCGGCUAACUACGUGCCAGCAGCCGCGGUAAUACGUAGGGCGCGAGCGUUGUCCGGAAUUAUUGGGCGUAAAGGGCUUGUAGGUGGCUGGUUGCGUCUGUCGUGAAAGCUCAUGGCUUAACUGUGGGUUUGCGGUGGGUACGGGCUGGCUUGAGUGCAGUAGGGGAGGCUGGAAUUCCUGGUGUAGCGGUGGAAAGCGCAGAUAUCAGGAGGAAUACCGGUGGCGAAGGCGGGUCUCUGGGCUGUUACUGACACUGAGGAGCGAAAGCAUGGGGGGCGAACAGG